rnacentral:lncRNA from 1 species
AUGGAAAAAUUCAGAAAGAAAAUUUCUCUCCUCGUGGAAAAAUUCAGAGAGAAAAAUUCAGAGAGAAAAAUUCUCUCCUCAUGCAAAAAUCAGAGAGAAAAAUUCAGAGAGAAAAAUUUCUUUCCUCAUGGGAAAAUUCAGAGAGAAAAUUUCUCCUCGUGGAAAAAUUCAGGGGGAAAAAUUCAGUCCUUGUGGAAAAAUUCUCCACUCAUGGAAAAAUUCAGAGAGAAAAAUUCAGUGAGAAAAUUUCUCUCCUGGUGGAAAAAUUCAGGGAGAAAAAUUCUCCACUCAUGGAAAAAUUCAGAGAGAAAAAUUCUCUUGUGGAAAAAUUCAAAGAGAAAAAAUUCUCUCCUCAUGGAAAAAUUCAGAGAGAAAAAUUCAGAGAGAAAAAUUCUCUUGUGGAAAAAUUCAGAGAGAAAAAUUUUCUUGUGGAAAAGUCCAGAGAGAAAAUUUCUCUCAUGGAAAAAUUCAGAGAAAAAUUCUCUACUCAUGGAAAAUUUCAGAGAGAAAAAUUCUCUUGUGGAAAAAUUCAGAGAAAAAAAAUCUCUCAUGGAAAAAUUCAGAGAGAAAAAUUCAGAGAGAAAAAUUCUCUCCUCGUGGAAAAAUUCAGAGAGAAAAUUUCUCUCCUCGUGGAAAAUUCAGAGAGAAAAUUUCAGAGAGAAAAAUUUCUCUUGUGGAAAAAUUCAGAGAAAAAAAUUCUCUCAUGGAAAAAUUCAGAAAGAAAAUUUCUCUCCUGGUGGAAAAAUUCAGAGAGAAGAAUUCAGAGAGAAAAAUUCUCUCCUUGUGGAAAAAUUCAGAGAGAAAAUUUCUCUCCUCGUGGGAAAAUUCAGAGAAAAAUUCUCUACUCAUGGAAAAAUUCAGAGAGAAAAAUUCAGAGAGAAAAAUUCAGAGAGAAAAAUUCUCUCCUCGUGCAAAAAUUCAGAGAAAAAUUCUCUUGUCAUGCAAAAAUUCAGAGAGAAAAAUUUCUCUCCUUGUGGAAAAGUCCAGAGAGAAAAUUUCUCUCAUGGAAAAAUUCUCCGCAUUCCCAGCCCUAUCCAGGCUGUGGCAUUCCAGGAUCAGGGACAUUUUUAUGGAAACUUUGAUGGGAUUUUCCAGCCUGAUCCUGCUGCUUUUAUGGCCAGGAUGUGUNAA